UUAUUUUGAUUUUGAUUUUUUUUCAAAGAAAUUGAUAAGAGAAACAGCAACACAUUAUCACUACACUGUUGUCAUUUCCUUCACUACAACAGCAGCAAUUCUUGCAAUUAGUUCUUCUGUUACCACCAAAAUGGUCCCAAUCGAGUCACAACUACAAGCUUUCCUUCUCCUAAUCUUUUUAGCAACCUUCGGUGGCGUCACAGCAGUUUCCCGUGAAGGUAGUUUUUCUUCUUUCUCUGUUACUACAACUUCAUUCGCUUUAUUGCCGGGCAGAACCUCCUUUGUUAUCUCUGUUUGUUCUACUUUCUGAGGUCCAUCGCUGUUUUCUGUAACAUUCCUACUCUUCACAAAUGUUUCCUUGAUGGUUUCCUGUGAAGGUAGUUUUUCUUCUUUCUCUGUUACUACAACUUCAUUCGCUUUAUUGCCGGGCAGAAUCUCCUUUGUUAUCUCUGUUUGUUCUACUUUCUGAGGUCCAUCGCUAUUUUCUGUAACAUUCCUACUCUUCACAAAUGUUUCCUUGAUGGUUUCCUGUGAAGGUAGUUUUUCUUCUUUCUCUGUUACAACAACUUCAUUCGUUUUAUUGCCGGGCAGAAUCUCCUUUGUUAUCUCUGUUUGUUCUACUUUCUGAGGUCCAUCGCUAUUUUCUGUAACAUUCCUACUCUUCACAAAUGUUUCCUUGAUGGUUUCCUGUGAAGGUAGUUUUUCUUCUUUCUCUGUUACUACAACUUCAUUCGUUUUAUUGCCGGGCAGAAUCUCCUUUGUUAUCUCUGUUUGUUGUACUUUAUGAGGUCCAUCGAUAUUUUCUGUAACAUUCCUACUCUUCACAAAUGUUUCCUUGAUGGUUUCCUGUGAAGGUAGUUUUUCUUCCUUCUCUGUUACUAAAACUUCAUUCGUCUUAUUGCCGGGCAGAAUCUCCUUUGUUUUCUCUGUUCGUUCUUCUACCAGAGGUCCGUCGCCAUUUUCUGUAACAUUCCUACUCUCCACAAAUGUUUCCUUGAUGGUUUCCUGUGAAGGUAGUUUUUCUUCUUUCUCUGUUACUAACAUUUCAUUCGUUUUAUUGCCGGGCAGAAUCUCCUUUGUUAUCUCUGUUCGUUCUUCUACCAGAGGUCCGUCGCCAUUUUCUGUAACAUUCCUACUCUCCACAAAUGUUUCCUUGAUGGUUUCCUGUGAAGGUAGUUUUUCUUCUUUCUCUGUUACCAACAUUUCA